rnacentral:lncRNA from 1 species
UCUGUAACAUACCUUUGAUCCCAAAACCUGGUACCACGUGCAUUUUUGAUGAGGAGUUGGUGGCAUUAACUUUUGCAUCAUUAUUUGACUUUGGUUGUGGUUGUAUGAAUGAUAUACUUAUGAUUAUCAAUUAUUACCAUCAUGUUGCUAUUUUUCCCGUUAACAUUUGUAAGAUGUAUUUUCACCCCCUUUAUUUUCUGCUUUGUUGAUUUUGUGCAAUUAAUGUACAAAUACUCAGCGAGAGCAGUCAUUUGUGAGUGGAAGACGAUCUUGAAACUUUC